rnacentral:tRNA from 1 species
GGUGGCUCAGUGGUAGAGUGCUUGCCUCACAUGCAGGGGGCCCUGGGUUUGAUUCCUCAGCACCA